GGAGUGGUAGUUCAGUUUCAGUUGGUUAGAAUACCGGCCUGUCACGCCGGGGGUCGCGGGUUCGAGUCCCGUCCACUCCGCCA
rnacentral:tRNA from 1 species